rnacentral:siRNA from 1 species
GCAGUGCGGAUGAUCACCU